rnacentral:rRNA from 1 species
GAUUAGUGGCGAACGGGUGAGUAACACGUGGGCAAUCUGCCCUUCACUCUGGGACAAGCCCUGGAAACGGGGUCUAAUACCGGAUAACACUCCUGCAGGCAUCUGUGGGGGUUAAAAGCUCCGGCGGUGAAGGAUGAGCCCGCGGCCUAUCAGCUUGUUGGUGAGGUAGUGGCUCACCAAGGCGACGACGGGUAGCCGGCCUGAGAGGGCGACCGGCCACACUGGGACUGAGACACGGCCCAGACUCCUACGGGAGGCAGCAGUGGGGAAUAUUGCACAAUGGGCGAAAGCCUGAUGCAGCGACGCCGCGUGAGGGAUGACGGCCUUCGGGUUGUAAACCUCUUUCAGCAGGGAAGAAGCGAAAGUGACGGUACCUGCAGAAGAAGCGCCGGCUAACUACGUGCCAGCAGCCGCGGUAAUACGUAGGGCGCAAGCGUUGUCCGGAAUUAUUGGGCGUAAAGAGCUCGUAGGCGGUCUGUCGCGUCGGAUGUGAAAGCCCGGGGCUUAACCCCGGGUCUGCAUUCGAUACGGGCAGACUAGAGUGUGGUAGGGGAGAUCGGAAUUCCUGGUGUAGCGGUGAAAUGCGCAGAUAUCAGGAGGAACACCGGUGGCGAAGGCGGAUCUCUGGGCCAUUACUGACGCUGAGGAGCGAAAGCGUGGGGAGCGAACAGGAUUAGAUACCCUGGUAGUCCACGCCGUAAACGGUGGGAACUAGGUGUUGGCGACAUUCCACGUCGUCGGUGCCGCAGCUAACGCAUUAAGUUCCCCGCCUGGGGAGUACGGCCGCAGCUAAACUCAAAGGAAUUGACGGG